UCAGCCUCCCAGCAAACACAGAGCUGAUCUUUUGGAGAUGCCAAGUCCCUCGGGCCAGCAGCACCAAGCCUGUUUUUCCCUAGCCAGCCCCGGGGACGAAAGGCCGAGCCUGUGGGCGCUGGCAGCGGCCGCGCUGAGGGGCUGCGGCCUCUGGGCCCCGUGCCUGGCGGCCCCGCGCCAGCCGGCAGCGACAGCCGGCCCGGGGGAAUUCAGGCCAUGGAAUCUGGGCCGCACAGGCGGCGAGAAAAGCGUCUGGAGAGAGCAGCAGAGGCGGAUGCGAUCGGCAGCCCCCGGCCAGGCACUGCGGCCAUCCGGGGGUGGGCGAGAGGCGGCGCGCACGGGAGAAGCUCCGGCCGUGCCCAGCGUCCGGCCGGGGGCCUGAGCAUCAUUAUAACAGGAAGAAGCUUUGGCAAUCUGUGAUCUAGAUUUCGCCAUUCCAGCUACCCAAUUUUGUCCAUUAAAAUAGGAAGUUACUAGAAGCCACACUUCCUAUUUCAGUGACACAUCCCCAGCAGUUAUUCACAGGCUUAGGGAGACUGGUCAGCUGUGUGGCAAUCCAGGAGAUGUUUCUCCUCCCCCCACUCAAGCAGGGGAACAUAGAGCGCUGCUGCAACAAUCCAGAUUCCCCUGGAAAUUACUGUGCCCACAAGCAUUGUUUAAGAGCUAAACCCAGGUAAUUUUCAAAUUACACUGCUGAGCUGUUCAUGGCAGAGUGUGCAACAGCACUGGUGUCAUUGGUUAGGGCACUCAGUGUCCCCCACAGCAGCAAGUGGUACCAGUAGUACCCUAAUGGCUGAGUAUGGCCAGGCACAGAAAGGGGCAGAAACCCAAGACCUCUGUAGGACAAGGGACACGAAUUCCCUGUUCUGCAGUGAUCAUAGACUAUAAAAUGGGCGAGACAGGAAACAGAGCAGAGUUCAAGGACAAAACAAUACUUCAAUUCACCCCAGUCCCAACUAAGAAAAGGCAGACAGGUAAGCUGGGAAGGGCUGCCCUCUUUGUCCCUAACCUGGGCACUGCACUCAUUAUUGGGAAGAAUUUCAACACAUGUCGGCGAGUGGAUGUGAACUGAUUUUCUGGGAAAUUACCCACAAAGAUUGUAAACAGAGAUUUACAAAUCAUCCAGAAAAGCACAUGAAUCACCCUCUUGUGUACAAUAAUUUAGUGGACUUAAGUCCUUUCUAAGUUUUUGGGAACCAGAGUGAAUGUAGAGCCCUCACAGAAAGUAUAAGGCUGAUGCCAUCAACAUUUCACAUAAGAUUUUACCAAAUCUUGCAACUCGAACAGCUCUAUAAAUGCAAAAAUGCAUAACAGAAAGUUAACAAACCUCCAAAGUCCUUCAUUAAGCUUAUGCUUAGGUUUCAUCACAAACAGUGCCCAGCACAGCAAUGCAGCUGGUCUCCCAGGCUUUGCUCAGCACCGUGAAGUGCUUCUUUCAAGCAAAGAGCAAGAGAUUGGUUACAGAGCUGGACCUGAGACAGUCAGAGGGACUCCCAGUGGAUCCAUCACAUGAAAAUGCCAAUUCCAUGUGGCCAGAAUAGUUUUUGUACAUGUAACAUAUCUAUAAGUAAUUAUGAGUUAUUAUGAGAUGGGAUUUGCAUUU